ACAAACUGCUGCCAAACAGCGGUCACUCUGGAUCGGACAAUCUAAGCUGUAGGGCGCAAGCGCUGUGGAUCCAACCAGGAGUUAGAUACGCUGGUAUGUGCACGCCCCGUAUACGAGUGUAAGCUAGACGCUCGGGGGGCAGCCACUUCCGUGUCGCCGCUAACGCAUUAAGCAUUCCGCCUGGGGAGUACGGCCGCAAGGUUAAAACUCAAAGGAAUUGACGGGGGCCGCACAAGCGGUGGAGCAUGUGGUUUAAUUCGAAACAACGCGCAGAACCUACCAACCCUUGAAUGUCCACUACUCGCUCGAGAGAUCGGGCUUUCAGUUCGCCUGGGGUGAACACAGGUGCUGCAAUGCUGUCGUCAGCUCGUGUCGUGAGAUGUUGUGGUUAAGUCCCGCAACGAGCGCAACCCUUAUCGUCAGUUGCCAUCAUUCAGUUGGGCACUCUGGUGGAACUGCCGGUUACAAGUCGGAGGAAGGCGGGGAUGACGUCAAGUCCUCAUGUCCCUUAUGGGUUGGGCUAUACACGUGCUACAAUGGCGGUGACAGUGGAUACCGAAGUCGCAAGAUGGAGCCAAUCCCCAAAAGCCGUCUCAGUUCGGUAUUCACUCUGCAACUCGGUGCAUGAAGUUGGAAUCGCUAGUAAUCGCGGAUCAGCACGCCGCGGUGUAUACGUUCCCGGUCUGGAGAUCACCGACCGGCACAACAUUGUAUGUGUCGAUGUCUCAGAGUUAGUGUGUGCCACCGCUUUCGC
rnacentral:rRNA from 1 species